rnacentral:rRNA from 1 species
UGGGGAAUAUUGCACAAUGGGCGAAAGCCUGAUGCAGCAACGCCGCGUGAGUGAUGAAGGUCUUCGGAUUGUAAAGCUCUGUCUUUUGGGACGAUAAUGACGGUACCAAAGGAGGAAGCCACGGCUAACUACGUGCCAGCAGCCGCGGUAAUACGUAGGUGGCGAGCGUUGUCCGGAUUUACUGGGCGUAAAGGGUGCGUAGGCGGAUGUUUAAGUGAGAUGUGAAAUACCCGGGCUUAACUUGGGUGCUGCAUUUCAAACUGGAUAUCUAGAGUGCAGGAGAGGAGAAUGGAAUUCCUAGUGUAGCGGUGAAAUGCGUAGAGAUUAGGAAGAACACCAGUGGCGAAGGCGAUUCUCUGGACUGUAACUGACGCUGAGGCGCGAAAGCGUGGGUAGCAAACAGGAUUAGAUACCCUGGUAGUCCACGCCGUAAAACGAUGAGUACUAGGUGUAGGAGGUAUCGACCCCUUCUGUGCCGCAGUAAACACAUUAAGUACUCCGCCUGGGAAGUACGAUCGCAAGAUU